AGAGUUUGAUCAUGGCUCAGGACGAACGCUGGCGGCGUGCUUAACACAUGCAAGUCGAACGAUGAAGUGGAGCUUGCUCCACGGAUUAGUGGCGAACGGGUGAGGAACACGUGAGAAACCUGCCUCGGAUUUUGGGAUAACAAAUGGAAACGUUUGCUAAUACCAAAUAACGUCGGAGAGUCACAUGGCUUUCUGACGAAAGGAAUUCCGAUUCGAGAGGGUCUCGCGGCCUAUCAGCUAGUUGGCGGGGUAAUGGCCCACCAAGGCAACGACGGGUAGCUGGUCUGAGAGGAUGGUCAGCCACACUGGGACUGAGACACGGCCCAGACUCCUACGGGAGGCAGCAGUGGGGAAUCUUGCGCAAUGGGCGAAAGCCUGACGCAGCAACGCCGCGUGCGGGAAGAAGGCUUUCGGGCUGUAAACCGCUUUCAGCAGGAACGAAAAUGACGGUACCUGCAGAAGAAGGAGCGGCCAACUAUGUGCCAGCAGCCGCGGUGAUACAUAGGCUUCAAGCGUUGUCCGGAUUUAUUGGGCGUAAAGAGUUCGUAGGCGGUCGAGUAAGUCGGGUGUGAAAAUUCUGGGCUCAACCCAGAAACGCCACCCGAUACUGCUUAACUUGAGUUCGAUAGGGGAGUGGGGAAUUCCUAGUGUAGCGGUGAAAUGCGCAGAUAUUAGGAGGAACACCGGUGGCGAAGGCGCCACUCUGGAUCGAUACUGACGCUGAGGAACGAAAGCAUGGGUAGCAAACAGGAUUAGAUACCCUGGUAGUCCAUGCCGUAAACGGUGGGCACUAGGUGUGGGAUUCUAUUAACGAAUUCCGCGCCGUCGCUAACGCAUUAAGUGCCCCGCCUGGGGAGUACGGUCGCAAGACUAAAACUCAAAGGAAUUGACGGGGG
rnacentral:rRNA from 1 species